rnacentral:sRNA from 1 species
AAAAAAUGAAAAAAAUUGAAAUAUUUUUUAGUCAACGCCGGUCAACAUCGGUCAACGCUGGUCAACAUUGGUCAAUGCCGGAUUCCGAUGACCGUAGCAUCAAAGUAGGAUGGUUAUGGUGUUGGCAACAUGACUUAUGUUUGUUCGUGUUUGUGCGUAUGUGAUAUCAAUACUUUGUGUAGCUAACGAAACAUUUUUAAAGUCUGCAUGUGUGACGAUGUGUUGGCUUAUACUUCAUGUAGCUGAUAAACAUUUUUCUUUACUAAUAUUCAAAAUAAACAAAACCUAAU